AUCCAGCUGACGAGUUCCAAAUAGGACGAAAUGCGCGUCCUGAAU
rnacentral:hammerhead_ribozyme from 1 species